UCCAGGUCUGUUAAUCUGAAUCAAUAGUGUGGCUGGAGCCACACUGUGUUGAGUGGGCUGCAAAAAGGACCGUCAUCAGGACUGUGACAGGGGCUCCAGGUGGCUAUGGAUCAAGAAGCGUGACCCGUGGACCAGUGCUGCUGAGACGCAAGCCAGGGCCUGGUCAACUCUGGCUGGAUCACCUGCGUGAGAGUGUCUGAUGUUGAAAGACCCGCGACAAUGAUCCCGGGUUACAUCACCGGUGUGGUGAACUGGGGACCAAGACUUGGGCCUACUCCAGCUGCUCUGGGAGUGGAUCUGGGACUCGGUCUCAUUUGGGAUGCUGUUGGAUAGCUUCUAUAGUUUGCAUGAUAUGCAUUUUAUUUUCUCUCUUUCUCUGCGCAGUGGUUUUCGGUUUUUUUUAAAUUGGAUUAUUUGGGGCUCUUGCUUUGUGGCUGCCUGUAAGCAGACAAAUUUCAAGGUAUAUAAUUGAUACAUUCUUUGUUAAUAGAUGUUAUUUGAAUCUUAGAAGACAACAGAAAAUUGUCAGACCAAACCUGAGAAUAAUAAUAACUGUAUCUGAAUGUAUUUCAAUAACAAAUUAGUGAAAUAGAACAUUGAACAGUACCGAACAGGAACAUACCCUUUGGCCCUCAAUGUUAUACCAAACCAACUAAAAAGUAAAUCAGAAAAACCCCAAAAAGUAAUCCCUCCUUCCCACACUUUGUCCAUAUAUAGAACAUGGAUAAUAAUAUGUAAAGAAUCAUUUGAAAUAUUUAUUUAUGAGUGAGCCAGUUUUUUUUAUUUCUACACAA